UACGGGGGGGGCGAGCGUUGUUCGGAUUUACUGGGCGUAAAGGGCGCGUAGGCGGCACCGCAAGUCGACUGUGAAAUCUCCGGGCUUAACCCGGAAAGGUCAGCCGAUACUGCGGGGCUAGAGUGCAGAAGGGGCAACUGGAAUUCUCGGUGUAGCGGUGAAAUGCGUAGAUAUCGAGAGGAACACCUGCGGCGAAGGCGGGUUGCUGGGCUGACACUGACGCUGAUGCGCGAAAGCUAGGGGAGCGAACGGG
rnacentral:rRNA from 1 species